UGCGGCGCAUGGUCUUCAAAACCAAUGGCGGCUCCCUG
rnacentral:tRNA from 13 species